rnacentral:misc_RNA from 1 species
GUUGCUUCAUUUCGCAUCGCCGCUGCCGCUCAAAACCCUAACCCUGCAAACCCAGUGCCGAAAUGGGUCGCGUGAUCCGUGCCCAACGUAAGGGUGCAGGUUCCGUCUUUAGGUCCCACACACACCACCGGAAAGGCCCGGCCAGAUUCCGCUCCCUCGAUUUCGGCGAGCGCAAUGGCUACCUGAAAGGAGUGGUCACUGAUAUUAUCCACGAUCCUGGUCGCGGCGCGCCGCUUGCUCGUGUGACGUUUCGUCACCCAUUUCGCUACAAGCACCAG